rnacentral:ncRNA from 1 species
GCCUAAGGUUUCCAAGAAGGGCCUAUAAAGUUCUCUGGGUGAACCAGUCCCUAAAUUAAAAAAUAAAAUGAAAAAGGUAGAAGCCAGGCUUCGCUUGGCUGUCGGGUUUUUUCAUUGGCCCAAAAGGUACCGAGGGCGCCUUCGGCGCCCUUGGGGGCCCUUUGAUGGGGUUUUUUUCUAAAAUACUGAUUAAUAGCCCAGGAAAUAAUUAGAAUUUGUAAAGACUGUACUAAAAUCUUACAAAAGUGGGCUUAUAAAAAAGGAGAAUUAUUAUUAAGGAACUCGGCAAAUUGCACGUGUAAGAUUUCGAGAAACGUGAAAAACCCUUUAUGAGAGGGACACCUCCUAAAGAGUAUUUUUAAAAUAAAAGGGAGCCUCGCCUGUUUACCAAAAACAUAGUUUUCAGCAAUUAACGCAAAAGCUUAGUAUUGAAAAUGAUGCCUGCCCAAUGAUUGUAUCUGAAAGGAAAGAAAGGGGGGUGGCGCGCAGCAGAAAGCCCCCCCUAAAAGUAUUUGGCUUUCUAUAAGGACAAUUGAAUGGCCGCGGUAACUCUGACCGUGAUAAUGUAGCGAAAUCACUAGCCAGUUAAUUGCUGGCCUGUAUGAAUGGCUUAACGAGGGCUCCACUGUCUCAAUAAUAAACCGGGUGAAAUUGGAAAAACGGUAAAGAUACCGUAAAGGAAUUCUAAGACGAGAAGACCCCAUUGAGCUUUACUAUUAACUUGUAUUGCCAAAGCAAAUAAAAGGGAACUCUCCCUUGCUUUAUAAUAAAAUUGAGUAGACUAAGUGGGAAAAAAGGGAUGUUAGUCCCCUUUUUAUGGCCGAUUCAUUGGAUUGGGCCCCCAAAAGAUACCUUUUGGGGCCAUUGGCGUAGAGAGGGGGGAUCCGAUUUUCGGAUCGGCGCCGAAGGCGCCCAACCCUACUCGAUUUUUAUGAAAAACCACUCUUUUUAUUAGGAUUACUGGCUAAAACCGUACAAGUAAGGUAGUUUGGUUGGGGCGACCGCCUUCGAAAAAGUAUCGAAGGCGUACAUAAGAUUAAUCCGGGGGGGGUGUCCUUUUUUCACCCCCAAACAAACCGGGGGUAAUGCCCCAAAAAAGAUUAGUUUGACUGAGAGGGCUACAACCCGAACAGGCGCUUUUAGGUUGGGGCCCGGUUUUUACCAAGGGGCCUAAUUGACCAGCGGGCUCCUUUUUAGCCCGGGUCGAACCUAGCGGGUCAUAGUGAUCCGUUGUUAUAUUGUGGGAUAGACAACGAUCAACGAAGAAAAGUUACCAUGGGGAUAACAGCGUAAUAUCGUUUUAGAGUACCUAUCGCUGACGAUGUUUGCGACCUCGAUGUUGAAUUGUGAUAUCCAGGAGGUGCAGCAGCUUCCAAGGGUUGGACUGUUCGUCCAUUAAAAUCAUACAUGAUUUGAGUUCUGUGCGACGAGAAGUCAUAUACCACAAUGCAGUGAAAUUCGGCUACCUUUCCC